rnacentral:rRNA from 1 species
AGGCGUACCGUGGUAUUCUAGAGCUAUACAUGCGAAAAGACCUGACUUUACGGAAGGGUUGUAUUUAUUAGAUAAAGAACCAAUAUUUUUGGUGAUUCAUAAUAACUUUGCGGAUCACGUUAUGUGACAUAUCAUUCAAGUUUCUGACCUAUCAGCUUUAGACGGUAGGGUAUUGGCCUACCGUGGCUAUGACGGGUAACGGGGAAUUAGGGUUCGAUUCCGGAGAGGGAGCCUGAGAAACGGCUACCACAUCUAAGGAAGGCAGCAGGCGCGCAAAUUACCCAAUCCUAAUACAGGGAGGUAGUGACAAGAAAUAACAAUACAGAACCUCACGGUUUUGUAAUUGGAAUGAGUUAAGUAUAAACCCCUUAACGAGUAUCAAUUGGAGGGCAAGUCUGGUGCCAGCAGCCGCGGUAAUUCCAGCUCCAAUAGCGUAUAUUAAAGUUGUUGCAGUUAAAAAGCUCGUAGUUGAUUUUCUGUUAAUUUUUAUGUAUAAUAUUGCGAUAUUUACAUAAUAUUAACAUAAUUCACAUUACUUUACAGUAUGUGGAAUUUUACUUUGAGAAAAUUAGAGUGCUUAAAGCAGGCUAUUGCCUUGAAUACUCCAGCAUGGAAUAAUAUUAAGGAUUUUUAUUCUUCUUAUUGGUUCUAGAAUAAAAAUAAUGAUUAAUAGGAACAGUUGGGGGGCAUUUG